UUUCAAAUCAUUUUCGAGAGUUUUAACGUCUGCAAGAUCUUGUACUGUAAUAGAUAAGAUUAAACAAUCACAAGUAGCAACACCAAAUACGAUGGCGAUAAAAUCAGCAAUUGAUGGGCAAAUUCUCAAGCGCUACAACCGGAGCAGCGGAAUGACGGUGGACGUGAAGAGGACAACGGACAUGAAAGAGAGGAAGUUGAAGGCGGAGGCUGUGAUGGGCAAAUUUUCAGGCGCUACAAUCGGAGCAACAAAGAGACGGCGGACAUGGAGGUGGAUGUGAAGGAGGUGGCAGACAUUGGAGAGGGAGAGAGGGAGGCAGACGCCAGACGGUAGAGGCGGAGCCGGAGAAGAUAGAAGUGGAGGUGGGGUUGGUGGAGAUGGGAUUGUCAGAGAAAUUAAUGGUAUUUGCUUUAGAAUUUAGUUAUAUUUUAGGUGGAUUUUUAAUUUGUAGAAUAAGCGAG
rnacentral:lncRNA from 1 species